UGCGUAGGUGGUAUGUCAAGUCAGAAGUGAAAACCCAGGGCUUAACUCUGGGACUGCUUUUGAAACUGUCAGACUGGAGUGCAGGAGAGGUAAGCGGAAUUCCUAGUGUAGCGGUGAAGUGCGUAGAUAUUAGGAGGAACAUCAGUGGCGAAGGCGGCUUACUGGACUGAAACUGACACUGAGGCACGAAAGCGUGGGAGCAAACA
rnacentral:rRNA from 1 species